GAAUCUUGGACAAUGGGGGCAACCCUGAUCCAGCGAUGCCGCGUGAGUGAAGAAGGCCUUCGGGUCGUAAAGCUCUUUAGGCUGGGAAGAAGAUUGGUAGUUUAAGAGAUAAUCAAUUUGACUGUACCAGCAGAAUAAGCACCGGCAAACUCUGUGCCAGCAGCCGCGGUAAUACAGAGGGUGCGAGCGUUAAUCGGAUUUACUGGGCGUAAAGGGCGCGUAGGUGGUUAGAUGAGUGUGAUGUGAAAGCCCCGGGCUUAACCUGGGAAGUGCAUCGCAAACGAUCUAACUGGAGUAGAUGAGAGGGUGAUGGAAUUUCCGGUGUAGCGGUGAAAUGCGUAGAGAUCGGAAGGAACGUCAAUGGCGAAGGCAGUCACCUGGCAUCAUACUGACACUGAGGCGCGAAAGCGUGGGUAGCGAACAGG
rnacentral:rRNA from 1 species